UUACUGAUAGGUUAUUUAAACUGGCAAAUUGUGGUUUUGUUGAUUACUCCUAUAUGUUUGUAUCAGUAAA
rnacentral:tRNA from 1 species